rnacentral:pre_miRNA from 1 species
GAUGUACUCCCUCCGUUCGGAAUUACUUGUCUCGGAAAUGAAUGUAUCUAGAACUAAAAUACAUCUAGAUACAUCCAUUUCUACGACAAGUAAUUCCGAACAGAGGGAGUAACAG